rnacentral:rRNA from 1 species
CCUACGGGAGGCAGCAGUGAGGAAUAUUGGUCAAUGGACGCAAGUCUGAACCAGCCAUGCCGCGUGCAGGAAGACGGCUCUAUGAGUUGUAAACUGCUUUUGUACGAGGGUAAAUGCAGAUACGUGUCUCGGUCUGAAAGUAUCGUACGAAUAAGGAUCGGCUAACUCCGUGCCAGCAGCCGCGGUAAUACGGAGGAUUCAAGCGUUAUCCGGAUGUAUUGGGUUUAAAGGGUGCGUAGGCGGUCGGAUAAGUUAGAGGUGAAAUCCCGGGGGUCAACAUCGGAAUUGCCUCGGAUACUGUGCGGCUCGAGAGUAGUUGCGGUAGGCGGAAUGUAUGGUGUAGCGGUGAAAUGCUUAGAGAUCAUGCAGAACACCGAUUGCGAAGGCAGCUUACCAAGCUACUUCUGACGUUGAGGCACGAAAGCGUGGGGAGCAAACAGGAUUAGAUACCCGGGUAGUC